UAGGGAAUCUUCGGCAAUGGACGAAAGUCUGACCGAGCAACGCCGCGUGAGUGAAGAAGGUUUUCGGAUCGUAAAACUCUGUUGUUAGAGAAGAACAAGGACGUUAGUAACUGAACGUCCCCUGACGGUAUCUAACCAGAAAGCCACGGCUAACUACGUGCCAGCAGCCGCGGUAAUACGUAGGAGGCAAGCGUUGUCCGGAUUUAUUGUGCGUAAAGCGAGCGCAGGCGGUUUCUUAAGUCUGAUGUGAAAGCCCCCGGCUCAACCGGGGAGGGUCAUUGGAAACUGUGAGACUCGAGUGCAGAAGAAGAGAGUGGAAUUCCAUGUGUAGCGGUGAAAUGCGUAGAUAUAUGGAGGAACACCAGUGGCGAAGGCGGCUCUCUGGUCUGUAACUGACGCUGAGGCUCGAAAGCGUGGGGAGCAAACAGG
rnacentral:rRNA from 1 species